CAACGGAGAUUCUACCCAGCUCUUCCCUAUCUCCUGACUGCGUGGCCAACAUGCUCACCACUUGGCCAGCGUGCGGCCCCAUAUUAGUAAAUCUUGUAAUAAUAUUUGUAAAUCUAAUAACAUUAAAAUUGUACAAGAAAGGAUUUAUUGGCUGGUUAUUAUGCAGACCAAUUCAUGCAAACAUCCUGAAAUAAGGCAAACAUACUUACUGCUUGCUCACGCACACACAGACACACACACACACACACACACACACACACACACACACAGACACAUAGUUUCCUCUGUGGGUAGAGCUUGUGAUCUAUCUCACAUGCUGGUAAUCCCAGUGAUGGUGGUCAGUGCAGCUCUGUAAACAGCUGAAAUAUGGAUGAUAACAGAAGUGGAUGAAACUGAAUAAACAAGAAGUCUGUGAACAAAAAACAAAAAAAUCCUUGAAUCCUUGAGAACUUUCCAAACACGGCUAGACCUCAAUCGUGAAAAACUUUAAUAGCGCCAACAAAUCAACUAGGGCAUUUGUUUAAUGGAUGAAAUGCAAAUAUGUUCAUUUUAAAUUAAUUAAAGGUGUUUAGGUCCACAACAUGAUGCAAUCAUGUUGUCUGAAUAAGAUUCUAAGAAAAAUCAGAUUAACCAAUUUCAUAUAUAUAAAUCCAAUAAGAAUGAGAUUCAUCAAAACAACAGCAGCUGUUACUGCACAUGCUCCACCCCCACCAUUCCGGAAGAAGUCAGAAGAGCGGGACCAGCCCUUUGGUUCACACUGAUAUCUUCAUCUAAUACAUCGGAAUGCUUGACAUUAAUGGUAAGUAAUUAAUAUAUGUAACGACCAUUUGUUCUACUAAUAAGUUCUACUAACAUUUAACAUUAUUUGCGCCAUUGGUGUAAUUCCCUUUUUCACCAGCAGGGCACGCAUGUAUAUCACACACUGAAGACGUUGCUGAUUGUAUCUCAUUCACACAGAAGUGAUGAGGCCAAUUAAUGUUCAAAAAGUUGCUUAAUCAACAUUUUGUUCGAGUUUUUAUAGUCUCGAAGGAUCCCUACUUCUGUGAGAGGGUCUAUUAUUCAUUGCUGCUGUUUCUGUGUUUGUGCUUGUCGAGUGAAAACUCUGGUGUUUUUUUUUUUGUUUGAGAGAAAAAAAAAUUUGAAGAAAGGCCAGCCAUACCUGAGACCAUCAACGCUGGAGAGGACGACGCAGGCUGACACACAAGUGUGUGACAUCAGCGACUGCUUCACGAUACGCUCUGCGUUGUGACCACCCCCUCAGCAGUAAAUGAAUAUGGACAGUGAGGCCAUGGCCUGCAUGCAGCAAACUCUGAUGGGAAUGUGUCAUCAAGCUGGAAGACAUCAGUGUCCUGAUUGUAGGUGUGGAGGUUCUCAGUGAUUUGGGGGGCAUUGGACUCUUGUGCGAGCUUAUCCUUUUCAAUGUGGAUGGACAAAGAUUGUCCUCUUAAGACACAGCUCCUUAAAAAACGGUCCUUUUUUAUGCUUGUUUGCAAUAAAUUGCUGAGUCAAACAUAUUUUUUGUCUCAAUCCCAUUUCUUCUUUUGGCAUUUUGGAGCUCUACUUGGAACCUCCAACAGUGCAAAAUGUAAAUUCUUGCAA